CUCCAGCCUGGGUGACAGGAUGAGACUCCAUCUCAGAAAAAAAAGAAAAAGAAUGGAAGAUGUUCUCAAAUAUGAGCUGCAUCCCAAGCACCUUGGGUGCUUGUUAAAACCAGAACUGCUUGUUCUUACCUCCAGAACUUCUGAGCAGUCAAUCUCGGGAGGCCCAGGAACCUACAUUUCUAACAAAUUUCCAGGUGAUCAGGCUGCUGGUCAGAGGACUUCUCUUCAAGAACCCUUGGGUGGGAGGAAAAAAUAAAGAAGUGGGAGGUGCCUCCGGGAGGCUGCUGCAGUGAGUCAGAGCUGGUGGAGUGAAAUGAUACCCUUGAGAUGGAGAAAAGUGGUCCAGAAUAGAAGAGUUCUAUUUUGGAGGUAGAAUGGACAGAACUCAUUGAUGGAUUGGAAGAUGGGGCUGAGGGACUGGGAGAAGUCAGGCAGAACAUUCCUAAAUCUCUGGGUUGAGCAACUAGGCAGGGAUGGUAGCAUCCACUGAAUGGGCGCCCGUUGUGGAAGAGCAGCAUUGGAGAUACAGACUUGGACACACGAACUCUGUGAUCUCUGCAACACCCAGCUGGCCAUGGCAGUGUGGCUCCAUUCUCAGACAAGCUGUCCCCUCCUGGUGGCAAGAUGGCAGCACCAAUGUCAGCCUAUAUCCUCCCAGGUUCAAAUCCAGCAGGAAAGAACACGACAGAGGUUGCAGUACGUCCUGCACAAAUUCGAGUAUGAAUCACUGCCCGUGAUUUCCC
rnacentral:lncRNA from 1 species